AUAUCUUAUUGUUGACUGGAAAAAAAAUAGAGAAUUGGAGUACUUCCUGGUUACAGUCUCCUGAUUGCAAACCUCCCCCAAAUACUCCCACUACCAAAGUGAAACCAGGAGAGGUAAUGACUACAACAGGACAUCUAUUUACAAAAACACCUAACUGAAAAGUUCAAGUGACUUACUGAAGACAUGAAGCCAAGAUGUGAUCAUUCAAAAGAAAGCUCAAAGGUAUACACAAGUAGUUCCUUUGUCUAGUUAUUAAUAAAGGUACAUGAAGCAGUUAGCCUUUUUCAGAAAACAGGUAGAGGGAAAAAGA
rnacentral:lncRNA from 1 species